UACGGGAGGCAGCAGUGGGGAAUAUUGCACAAUGGGCGCAAGCCUGAUGCAGCCAUGCCGCGUGUAUGAAGAAGGCCUUCGGGUUGUAAAGUACUUUCAGUCGUGAGGAAGGUGUUAAGGUUAAUAACCUUAGCAAUUGACGUUAGCGACAGAAGAAGCACCGGCUAACUCCGUGCCAGCAGCCGCGGUAAUACGGAGGGUGCGAGCGUUAAUCGGAAUUACUGGGCGUAAAGGGCACGCAGGCGGUUAAUUAAGUUGGAUGUGAAAUCCCCGGGCUUAACCUAGGAAUGGCAUUCAAGACUGGUUAGCUAGAGUCUUGUAGAGGGGGUAGAAUUCCAUGUGUAGCGGUGAAAUGCGUAGAGAUGUGGAGGAAUACCGGUGGCGAAGGCGGCCCCUGGACAAAGACUGACGCUCAUGUGCGAAAGCGUGGGGAGCAAACG
rnacentral:rRNA from 1 species